GAGAGUAUAGUGCAGUGGUAGAAUGCCUGCCUAGCGUGCAUGAGGUCCUAGGUUCAUUUCCCAGUAUUUCCA
rnacentral:tRNA from 1 species